CGGUCGUACCGGCGGGUAAUCAGCCUUUCGGGUAUGAUUCUGCGGAGCGUGAGGAGUUAAACGCCUUCAUGCCUGCAUAUCCGUGUACUUUGGGUGUACCUGCCUGUGUGGUUAGUUAACAUCAAUUUUGGUUAUCAUAAAAUGGUUGGAGGAAUGUAGCUUCGAUCUCGUAUUGAAGUGUUAUAGCCUUCGGCAGAUGUGAUGAUCGAGAUUGAGGAUUGGCAACGGAUACCCGUUCGGGGCUACCGUGUCUGAUCUCUGAUCGUUGCUCUGGUACCGAAGCUUGCUUACGG
rnacentral:rRNA from 1 species